rnacentral:rRNA from 1 species
GAUGAACGCUAGCGAUAGGCCUAACACAUGCAAGUCGAGGGGCAUCACAUGAAGUAGCAAUACGGAUGGUGGCGACCGGCGCACGGGUGAGUAACACGUAUGCAACCUGCCUUCAACAAGGGGAUAACCCGUUGAAAGACGGACUAAUACCCUAUAACACAGGGGUCCCGCAUGGGAAUAUUUGUUAAAGGACAACCGGUUGAAGAUGGGCAUGCGUUCCAUUAGCUAGUUGGCGGGGUAACGGCCCACCAAGGCAACGAUGGAUAGGGGAACUGAGAGGUUUAUCCCCCACACUGGUACUGAGACACGGACCAGACUCCUACGGGAGGCAGCAGUGAGGAAUAUUGGUCAAUGGACGCAAGUCUGAACCAGCCACGUCGCGUGAAGGAAGACGGCCCUACGGGUUGUAAACUUCUUUUGCAAGGGAAUAAAGUGGCCACGUGUGGCCUUUUGCAAGUACCUUGCGAAUAAGGAUCGGCUAACUCCGUGCCAGCAGCCGCGGUAAAU